rnacentral:rRNA from 1 species
UACGUAGGUGGCAAGCGUUGUCCGGAAUUAUUGGGCGUAAAGCGCGCGCAGGCGGCGCUCAGCAGUGGCGCGUGGAAUCUCCCGGCUCACCCGGGAGGGGUCGCGCCAGACGGGAGUGCUCGAGGCAGGCAGAGGAUCGCGGAACGGGCGGAGUAGGGGUGAAAUCCGUAGAGACCGUCCGGAACACCAGUGGCGUAGGCGGCGGUCUGGGCCUGUCCUGACGCUCAGGCGCGAAAGCGUGGGGAGCGAACGGA